UGUACUGAAGCCAACUUGUUCCUAAUUUGUUUUAAUUAAUGCAGCCUAUAUCACAACACUUCCCCACACCACAGAGGCAAAGACCUCCUGCAGCUUUCUAUUCUGAUCAUGGGGGUGAGCAAACCAUCUACUCCUUCCCUGCACAUGACUUCCCAUUGUCACAGACUCAACCAAGUCAAGGACACACAAUAUCAAGCCAAGCAUUGCAGGAUCUUGCAAUGGCUAGAAGAUUAGAAAAAAGACCAUGAGAAAAAUACCUUUUUGUUGAGAAGAGUCAGCUAUGGUGGAGCAACAGAGAAAAAACACAGAGCAGAAGAUGGAGAAGAAAGAAUUUUUUUUUUUAAGUGUUUUAUUGUUGUUUUGUUUGCCAUGGAAUGUUGAAUACUCUGUUUUUUGAGAGCCUCAACGGCUAUAUUUUUGUAAAAAGCUAACUGAAAUGAAUUUCCCUUUAUUUAAUUAUUGGUAAAUGGUAAAUGUA